UUUUAGCCCUGAUGGAUGUGAAAAUCCUCGCCAUUUUUCUUGGCGAGAUUGAAACGACAGCAGGUAUAUGG
rnacentral:sRNA from 26 species